UCCCUAUUUUUCUUGAGUUUGGUGGGCAAACGGGCACCCCUCAGGGAGAUGGACCGUUCUAUUGUAAUAUUUUUCACCUCACACAAGUUGUUUUCCUAAACUUUUCAGGAAUUAAAACUUGGGAGGCUUAGCGGCCCCACAUCUGCUCAUCUUCCGCGGUCACGGGCGAGCUAAUAGGCUGCGCUAGGUGCAGGUUCCUGGGACCUCAUUUCAUGCCCUUUCCAGAGCCACAGAGCAGGGGAAGGAAGGCUUCCCUCUCUCCCUCCCGGCGGUUCCUGGAGACCUUCCACUGGAGCACUUCGGAGUGAAACUUUUUUCUUAAGGAGGGAAAAUAGAUUUCUACUGACGAAGGUAACUUGGACGUGGCCCUCUGAGCCAACCUCUGGAAAUCGCGUUUCUAUGAGGGACCGGUUAUGAAGCAGAAGAAAACCACUGAAAUGCAACUAUAGAAUCUAUGAUGGAUGGUUUUGUGCUGGAAACCUCAGUGGAGAAGGGAAGGGGCCCGAGCUGGGCUGCGUCAGAGUCCAGCCCUCACCAGGCCAUCACUCCGCCUGUGGAAAAAUCCAGAAGGUGCUUGGUCCUCCCUCUCAAGUCUAAAUGUGAACAGGAAAUUCCACUUGGCCCUGCCCUGGCUAGAUUAGUAAUCAGUCACAAUUGUUGGUCUUUAGAAAAAUAAAAUAAAGGGUGGUGCCUGUGGCUCAGUGAGUAGGGCUCCGAUCCCGUAUACCGAGGGUUGCCGGUUCAAACCCCGCCCCGGCCAAACUGCCACAAAAAAUAGCCCGGCGUUGUGGUGGGCACCUGUGGUCCCAGCUACUGGGGAGGCUGAGGCAAGAGAAUCACCUAAGCCCAAGAGCUGGAGGUUGCUGUGAGCUGUGUGACACCACGGCACUCUACCGAGGGCGAUAAAGUGAGACUCUGUCUCUACCAAAAAAAAAAGUAAAUAAAAUAAAAAAGUAAAAAAGAAGAAGAAAAUAGAGAAAUAAAUAUUUUUCUUGCAAGCAUCAAAGCCUUAUAAUGGCAGCAGUGACAACUACAGAACCAUCUGGAAUCUGUUGAGUCCCUCUUGCAUGCCAUUUGUCACAUCUGUUGAAGGAUCCUGGUUGGAAGUGCCGAGUCCUGCCAUGAGACUGAGGCUCCCCUUCCCUUCUCCUUGGCCUUGAACGCUGUUGAUUCCAGAAAGUGGCCUGGAUGUGGGCCACAGGACUGACUCAUGUGGGAGCAUUGUGAUGUCUUAGUGCUCCCAGGAUCACACAGAGAGGGCACCUUCUCAAUUGCGGAACCUACCUGUUCCUGACCAAGGCCACUGACACCCGCUGCUCUAUGGGUCCAGAAGAUGUCUGCUUCAAAUCCACUCAUCUUCAAGGUGCCUCUGUGCCUUCAGGAGUGUGCAGUGUACAUCCCCUGGGACAUCUGUCCAGCACAGGACAGUGUCCCAUGUUGGAGGCCUUGUACUGGUCCUCAUCGUGUGGCUACACUGGACACGGCCUGCUAGAUGCUCCAGGCUCACCUUGGAUGAGGAUCAUUUUUUUACUAUGUGGAUAUAGAGAUGCUGGUUCUGUCCCAGGCAGAGGUGCCUGGAGAGGUCAUGAUGAAGACUGAAGGAAGCAUCCUGCCAUGUGGCCUUGGCUCUCAGCUCCUGAUUCUGCCCCCAGUACCAUUCUGAAACUUUCUGCUUGUUUCUUGCUGUGCUCUUCAUGAAGAAUCACUGACCUGCACUCUCACUCUCUCCACCAGGCCUCCCUUCCACAAGCUCCCUCCACCUCAUUAUGUGUCUACUUAGAAGCUGCAGGGACUGAGCACUGAAAGUGUCCAGACCCCACCAGGAAGCCACCUCAAGACUGUCAGUGAACUAUGACAGCCUUUGAGAUGGUGCCAGACCAGGUACUCAGAAUGACUCAGGAAUCAGCCAUGGUCCCGUGCCAUCCCUGCAUGCUCCUCACACCAAGACUCCUUUUUAAGCUCCCAUCCUCAACCGGGAACUUUGAAAUGGUUUCUUUGAGGCAUGGCCAUUUCCCCACUGCUAGCUCUGGAAUAAAGUCACUUUUUACCACAGCUUGUUCUGGUCAUUGGCUUUUAUAAGCAGUACGUGGCUGAGCCUGUGACUGAUUACAAUUCUGUCCCUUCCCAGAGCCCUGCUGCUGCCUGGCACAUGAGCUCUGAGGCGUCCGGUGUCCUUACUGAUAACGCCCCUCUGCUUCCCUAGCACUAACCCUGUAGGCUUUGUGCCCACUUUGUUCUGGUUCAAACGAGGGGAGAGGGUGACGUCAGGACUUUAGUGCAGAUACCUCUGUCCUGAUUUUCUUGGCUGCCACUGGGUGGGACGGGAAGGUGAGAAGCAGACACCAUCUUUUAAAGAAGGCAGAUGUAGGCCGGAGCAGCAGAUGUGGGCUGGUGUGAGGCAGGGUCUGUGAUGACAGCACACACAGGGGAGGGCCAGAUGGGUUGGCUGCAGAGCACACAAAGCAGUUCCGCACACAGAGGCUGUAGUGUGCUUGCUCGGAGCAGACAGGCUGAUGGACCACGAGAGGAACAUGUCUCAGGAGGUGGUGGGUCCAGGAGAAGGCAAGACCUUCAGGAAAGACCUUUCAGCUCCGACCCAACCUGAACUUGCACCAAGUCUAGCCUCCGCACAGACCUGUGAGCAAGGAUGGAGUGGUUUGUUACCCAGCACCGCUGCAGCUGACUACCAUGCUCUGUGAAAGGGCCUGAAUGCUCAGAGAAGAGACUCCUGCAGCGAGUGGUGUCCUUAGAACCUGUCUCCUCCUCCCGCCCCCCAUUUUAGGGCUGUGUAAACUGAGGCCUGGCUUGGGGAAGGCAGCAUGGAGAAGGCAGAUGGGAGGUGGAUGCUGGCUUUGCACCAGCAGUGUGGCCCUGAGCAGACUGAACCAAGUCUUUGGCUUGGCUUCCAAACCUCUCAAAUGGUGACAAUCAUAUCUACAAAGGAGACAACUGCGCACUGUGCCCGGCACAGGGUCUGUGCUUACACGCUGCACCGUCUAUAAG